rnacentral:rRNA from 1 species
ACGAACGCUGGCGGCGUGCCUAACACAUGCAAGUCGAGCGAGAGACUUCGGUCUCUAGCGGCGGACGGGUGAGUAACACGUGGGUAACCUGCCUCAAACAGGUGGAUAGCCUUCCGAAAGGAAGAUUAAUACCGCAUAACAUCAAAUUAUCGCAUGGUAGUUUGAUCAAAGGAGUAAUCCGGUUUGAGAUGGACCCGCGGCGCAUUAGCUAGUUGGUGAGGUAACGGCUCACCAAGGCCACGAUGCGUAGCCGACCUGAGAGGGUGAUCGGCCACAUUGGAACUGAGAUACGGUCCAGACUCCUACGGGAGGCAGCAGUGGGGAAUAUUGCACAAUGGGCGAAAGCCUGAUGCAGCAACGCCGCGUGAGUGAUGAAGGCCUUCGGGUUGUAAAGCUCUGUCUUUGGGGACGAUAAUGACGGUACCCAAGGAGGAAGCCACGGCUAACUACGUGCCAGCAGCCGCGGUAAUACGAAACUCAAAUGAAUUGACGG